CCUACGGGCGGCAGCAGUGGGGAAUAUUGGGCAAUGGAGGAAACUCUGACCCAGCAAUGCCGCGUGAGUGAAGAAGGUCUUCGGAUUGUAAAGUUCUUUAGUCAGGGGAGAAUAAAAUGACGGUACCUGAAGAAUAAGCUCCGGCUAACUACGUGCCAGCAGCCGCGGUAAUACGUAGGGAGCAAGCGUUGUUCGGCAUGACUGGGCGUAAAGGGUGCGUAGGCGGUUAUACAAGUUAGAAGUGAAAUACCCAGGGCUUAACUCGGGUGCUGCUUCUAAAACUGUAAGACUUGAGUGCAGUAGAGGUUAGUGGAAUGCCUGGUGUAGCGGUGGAAUGCGUAGAUAUCGAGAGGAACACUCGUGGCGAAGGCGGGUUCCUGGACAUUAACUGACGCUGAGGCACGAAGGCCAGGGGAGCGAAAGGGAUUAGAUACCCCAGUAGUC
rnacentral:rRNA from 1 species